rnacentral:rRNA from 1 species
AGUGAACGCUGGCGGUAGGCCUAACACAUGCAAGUCGAACGGCAGCACAGUAAGAGCCUGCUCUUACGGGUGGCGAGUGGCGGACGGGUGAGGAAUACACCUGAAUCUACUUUUUUGUGGGGGCUAACGUAGCGAAACUUACGCCAAUACCGCACACCACCUGCGGGUGAAAGCAGGGGAUCUUCCGCCCUUGCGGGAUUGAAGGAGCCGAAGUCGGAUUAGCUAGUUGGCGGGGUAAAGGCCCACCAAGGCGAGGAUCCGUAGCUGGUCUGAGAGGAUGAUCAGCGACACUGGAACUGAGACACGGUCCAGACUCCUGCGGGAGGCAGCAGUGGGGAAUCUUGGACAAGGGGCGCAAGCCGGAUCCAGCGAUCCCGCGUGGUGGAAGAAGGCCUGCGGGUUGUAAAGCUCUGUUGUGGGGAAAGAAAUGCUGGGGGGUAAUACGGUGCUGUUAUGACGGUAGCCUAAGAAUAAUCACCGGCUAACUUCGUG